CCACAUUUGUACAUCUAUAAUUAUGAGUUGGACAAUUAGUUAAUUUGAUACAAUACCAAAGCAAGAAUAAUCGAAAAACAACUAUACCAUCGCAUACUAAUAAGUAAGACAUAACAGAUAACCAAAUUCUUGAAUCUUAAAACAAAUAUCAACUCGAGCAUUUAGUGAAUAUCAAAUUAACUAAUAUUCCGCCCGUAGGGCGGACCGACCCUAGUGAUAAGUAUUAUAUCGUGAAAAUUGUAAACUUUAUAUAGCAACUUAUUAAAUUUUCUUUUGUUUGAUAAUUGUUUUAUAAAGACUCUAAUAACAUAGGUAAAAAGAGUGAAGAUUUCGUGCAUAAGAUUUUGUCUUCAAAAGAUAAAAGUAUUGAUUUUACGUUCAGCUAUGCGAUGAUGUAGCAUAUAUACUAGUUGUAUUGAUGCGUUGUACUCGUAAUAUGCUAUGUAAUGCUCCAUAUAAAAUUGGCAGACGUUCAUGCAACAGUAGUUUAAAUCUACAACUAGGGCAAGAAUUAGUGCUUUAGCUUUCAAGAAUAUCACAAGCUCAACUUUAUUUGAGGUAAAAAAAAACUUUAUUUGAGGUUGGAUGUGAUUUACGAUUAAAUGUACAGAAGUUUCAAUAUUUAUAAUUAAAAAACAAGUGCUACGUAUGUCAAUGAAUGGUCUAAUUAUAAAGUAUAGCAUGCUGCAUAUGUACAGAAGGUUCGGCAUUUGUAAAAAAGUAGAAAACUAGUGUUAAAUAAUUUGGUAACUACAUUAACAACAAAUAAUUUUUGUCUCAAUGAUUGGUUUAAUUAUAAAGUAACAAAUAAUUCAGUUUCAUAUUGAUUUUAUCGACCUUAUUAAAAUUACAUUUAACCUAUAUGUUAAGUAAUUUGGUAAUUAUAUAAACAUACAGGUAACAAUACCAAAAUACACAUAUGUUUAUUCAAUCCUAAAUAAUUCACAUAUCAAAAUAUCAUUUUUUGGGUGAAAAUAUCAUUUUUAUCAACAUGUAUCAGUGUUACAAAAAAUUAUAUCAACAUAUAUGAAAAUAUUUAAUAUAAAUAACCACAUUCUGGAUACUUAUAUGUCUAUUAAUUAUUUUAUUGAUAAAAAAAUAUUGCAGAACUUUUAUUGUCUGAUAACUUUUUUUUUGUCUGAUAACUUUCGAAAACCAUAAUAACGAAAUUUUUAGGUAAAGAAAAAUAAUUUAGGUAAAGAACCCAUAUGGCCGUAUUCUGUCUUUUUAUGAAAAGAGCAGUCGACUUUUAAAACAAAAGAAGAAAACUAUCUACUUCUGAGCUCAGGCAUUAAAAUCAACAGAAUAAUUUUUUUUAUUCGAAAAUAAGCAUAAUUGAAAUCGAUGUGGACGUUAAGAACUUAAAGACUUAACUAUUCAUUUUUUUUUUGAUAUCGAACACCAUGCUUUAUUAAUUCAAAGAGGUCCACUCUUACAUUCCGCUCUCUUGCGAUAAAAGACUUAAAUAUUCAUUUAUUUUAAAUAUCCAAUACCUAACUAAUGACCAACAAGUCAACCUGACUCGGAUUUUCAGAUUUGAAAAUUCUCUUGAACUGACAAACAACAAGUUUAAUAGUAUAUAUUACACAAUUAGAAAUUGAUAGUGUACGUUGUAACAAACACUAAACACAUAGUCAGCAUUUUCCAAAAGCAGGAGAACGAUAUGUUGCAUGUCGAACAGGAUUGAUAUAUAUGUUCAUAACUUGUUUAAUGAGGGCUACUUAACGCGUUGAAUGAAUACACAACAUAUUAAGAAAAAAACACUUUACGAAAAAAACUGGUUAUUUGUAUAUUAGAUGUUAACUAGAUGGAAUCCGGUAUAAAUCCCGUAGCAAAAUAAGUAAUUUCCAUAACUACAAAAUUCUUAAAUAAUAAACUAGUUUUGCAAUUGGUUAGAAAGUAAUAACAUAUUAAACACAAUAAUAAUUAGGUAGCUCGCAUAGACGUAAACAUUUUAUAAUUAUUUAUUAUAUAGAUAUUACUAAUUAAGUGAUUAUAAUGAUAAUUUUUUUAAUGUUUCCAUCUGAAAUUUUCUACGUAUUAUAAAUUUUUUGAAAUUUAUCUAUAUGCUAUAAUCAUCAUUAAUAAUUUAGUCUUAGAAAUCACUCAAUAUUAUCUUUCAAUUAUAAAAUAUUAAUAAUUUUACUUGAUUAUUAUUUAGUUAUGUGUUUUCUGUUUUUAAAUUUUUUAGUUUUUAUUAAAAUAUAUUUUUGGAUAACAACACAAUAUAUAAGAAUUGUCUUUUUUAUUUUAAAAUAUAUUUUUAGAUUUUCAAUAAUUUUUAUUUCUGUUAAUUUUAAUUACUUAUAGUAUCAAAAAAUUGAUUUGUUUUUAAUUUUAACCAAUUAUUAUUUAUAUUUUCAUUUGAACAUUCUUACGUAUAAUUUUUGUUUGAAAAUUUCUUUGUACAUUCUAUUUAUUAUCAAUAGAUAAAUCUUAAAAAUCACUCGAUAUUUAGUUAUGUGUUUUCUGUUUUUCAACGUUUUAUUAAAGAUAUUUUUUUUAUGACAACACAAUAUAUAUACAUAUUAUUUUUUGAUAAAUACGUUUAAUUAGUGAGUCUCAAGAGAAAACUUAAACAAGGUUACUAAAUUUGAUGUUUGAUAAUCGGAGUGCUAUAUUUGUCAUGAAAUCAUUGUUGAUGCAUGACGACAUAUGGGGGGGGGGGGGGGGGGGGUGUAAACUAUGCUUAAUGUUUAUUUCUGUUUGAACUUUGAAUCCCACCAUAUAUUAAUUGAGAAGUCACUUAAGUGAUUUCUACUAACGUGUCGUUCAUAGGAGAGUUUUUCAAUUAAUUUUUAUAAUUUGAUUGGUUGAUGAUUUUUAAUUUUUAAUUUAUUUAAUUAAAGUUUUUAAAAGAAACUAACCCUAGUAUUAUCUAAUCUAAUAUAUGUUUUCAAACAUACAAUUAAAUAUCUUAAAUAUAGAUCAAUUAAUAUAAUUUAUUUAUAUAAACAGUUAAAUAUCAAAUAUUACUUUAUAUAAAUUGAUAAUAUACAUAUAUAUAUAUAUAUAUGAUACUACAUAAACAAUUAUAAAAAUGGUUUUCAAUAUAUUUAUAUUAGUAGUGAAUACAAUAAAUCAAUAAUCAUAGAUUCUAGAAAACUAAUUAAUGUAAACUUAAUAAUAUUAAUUAAACUUACUCAUUCACUCUACAUAUAUAUUCUAAAAUAUUUCAAAUGAAUGCAAAACAAUCAAAUAUAUAAUUUUAAAAAAUCUCAUCAUUUUCCAAUGACAAUAUGAUAUCAUAGAUAAGUUAUCACUUUUAGAAAUAAUUUAAAAUAUUUUUAUAUUUUAAAACGUAAAAAUUAUAUGGUAAGUCAUUUAAAUUAUAUUAAUCAAGAAAUAUUAUUUAAUUCAUCUAUUAAUAUUAGCAGAUGAAUUAAAAUUAUUAUAUGGUAAGUCACUUAAAAUUGUAUUAUAUUGUAAUUCAUCUAAAACUAUUAUAUAGUAAGUCAUUUAAAAUUAAAUUAAUCAAAGUAUUUUUCACAUGCUUUUCCUAGAGGUAAUACUCUAUUAAUAUAAUUCAUAUAGUUUUGAUUAUAAUAAAAUUAACAUGCUUGUUUUGAAUAGUAAAAACAAUAAAAGAGACAUAAAUAAAAAAAUGAGGGAAGAAUAAUAAAAUAUAUUUGUUGUGUUCUUGGUUCUUUUAUAUUCUUAUGUAUUUAAUUUUAUUUAUUUGUCAAGAUGCAUGUAUUUUUUUAUGUUACUAUAAAUGUGAACUAAUUAGUUUUAUGUGUUUUUAAAACAUCCUAUAUAUAUUAAUUGAGAAGUCACUUAAACGAUUUUUGCUGACGUGUUGUUCAUAGAAGAUAUUUCUAAUUAAUUGUUAUAAUUUGAUUGGUUGAUGAUUUUUAAUUUUUAAUUUAUUUAUUUAAAGUUUUUAAAAGGAAACUAGCUCUAGAAUUACCUAAUCUAAAAUAUAUUUUCAAACAUACAAUUAAACUUCUUAAAUAUAGAUGAAUUAAUAUAAUUUAUUUAUAUAAACAAUUAAAUAUCAUAUAUUAUAUUAUAUAAAUUGAUAAUUUACAUUUAAAUACAUAUGAUACUACAUAAGCAAUUAUAAAAAUGGUUUUUAAUAUAUUUAUAUUAGUAGUGAAUACAAUAAAUCAAUAAAUCAUAGAUUCCAGAAAACUAACUAACGUAAACCUAAUAAUAUCAGUUAAACUCACUCAUUUAAUAUAUAUAUACACAUAUAUUCUAAAAUGUUUGCAAUGAAUGCAAAACAGCCAAAUAUAUAAUUUUUAAAAAUUCUCAUCAUUUUCCAAUGACAAUGUGAUAUCAUAGAUAAGUUAUCACUUUUAGAAAUGAUUUAAAAUAUUUUUAUAUUUUAAAAACUAAAAAUUAUAUGGUAAGUCAUUUAAAAUUAUAUUAAUCAAGAAAUGUUAUUUAAUUCAUCUAUUAAUAUAAACAUAUGAAUUAAAAUUAUUAUAUGGUAAGUCACUUAAAAUUAUAUUAUAUGGUAAUCCAUUUAAAAUUAUUAUAUAGUAAGUCAUUUAAAAUUAAAUGAAUCAAAGUAUUUUUCGUAUGCUUUUCCUAAAGUUAAUACUCUAUUAAUAUAAUUCAUAUAGCUUUAAUUAUAAUAAAAUGAGCAUGCUUGUUUUGAAUAGUAAAAAAAUAAAGGAGACAUAAAUAAAAACAGGAUAAAAGAAUAAUAAAAUAUGUUUGUUGUGUUCUUGGUUCUUUUAUAUUAUUAUGUAUUUAAUUUUAUUUAUUUGUCGAGAUGCAGAAUAAUAAUCAGAUUUAAUUAAAAUAUGUAUGUUUUAAAGGAAGAAAUGGUUUGUUAAACCCAUUUAAGUUUUUAUGUUAAACACUAAAUAAACAAUGAGUGAGAGAGUGUGAUUUGUGAUUUGACAAAAUUAUGAGAAAAAUUAUUUAGACUACCAUUUUCUUUAUACAUGUUUAUAUUAACCAAAUUUAUCCUUGGUUUUAAUGAGACAAAUCAUAUUAUAUAUUAAUUGUGAAGUCAUUUAAGUAAUGUUUUCUUAUGUAUUGUUAAAAUGUUAAGUUUUUAAAAUAAUUAUAAUUUGAUUGGUUGUUGACGUUUAUUAGUUAUUUAUUUUAAUUAGAUCUAAAAAUAAAAGGUAACAAUAGAACUAAAUAGUAUAAAUUACCAAAUAACACAAGUAAUAUUACAAAUAAUGAUUUAUGGUAACUAAUUGUAGAAUUUUAGAUAUAAUAUAUAUGUUUUAUCAAUUUCUUUUUCUUUAUCAAUUAUUUAUAUAUAAUUAAAUAAAAUACUUUAACUUUUUUUGAUUGAAAGAAAUUUAAUGGUUAUAUAUUCUUAUAUAAAAUAAUUAGAUUUGUAGGUAAAUAAUUAUUAGAACUUUUUAUGUUUUCUAAAGUGCUAUACAAAAAAAAUUCUUUUUUUUUUAUUUCUUGAAAGCUAGAGUAUUUCUGUUUUUUCACGUGUUAAUAUAAAAUAUAAAGUAAUUUUACAAUCAAUUAUCUGAAUUAAUUAUAAUAUUUUUUUUCUGUAAGAGAAAUAUUUGUAAUGACUAAGGUUUAAGUUGUUAAAAUAUUUUCUAAAUCUCAUAAAUCUUCUAAAAUUAUUUACUGAAAUUUUUGAUUAUCCAACUAUUUGAAAUUAAAAAUUAAAAGUUAAAAUUUUAAUUAUUAUUCAAAAAUUAUAACAAUGUAAAUAUAAUAUAUAUUUCUUCAUUUAAUAUAAUUACCCGUAAAAUUACGGAUAAAUACCUAAUAUGCUUAACGUUCAGGGCCAGCUCAUUAAGGGAGGAGCGGUGCGACCGCCCCAGACUCAAGUCCGUGUUUCCUUGUAUAAUAAUAAUUAAAGAGUCCAAUUUUUUUAUAAAUCUAUAUUUUUAUAUAUAAAUUUUUUUAAAUAUAAUCAAUAAAAUUGAAAAGAGUCCAAAAUUAUUUGAUAUGUAUAUGAUUUUAGUUUCAUUACAAAAUAUUACUGAUUAAAUUUUAAAAAUAUUUUAAAAAAUAUCUACAUCUAAAUAUCUGCAUUUAAAUUGAGAGGGAACAAUUUUUGUUGUCUUAUGACUCUGAAUAUUGUUGAGCCGGCCCUGUUAAUGUUCAACAGUUAAAUAUAGAACUUUUUGAGUAUAUAUACUUCAAAUAAUUUAUAAAACGUUGAUGAUUAGUUUUUUUUAUUAACAUAAAUAAAAUAUUGAAUAUUAGAAAUGUCUAACUUUAACGAUGAAUUGUAUAAGUUAUCGCGUCUAGAGACGGAAUUGCGAUGAGUUACUAUGAAUUUGUUACAAAAUGUCGAUAAGUACUGAUUUAUUCAGUUAAAGGCAUCUUCAAUCAUUUCUUCGUAAUGCAUUAAAAUGCACCAUAUCAUCUAUCUGUCCAUAUAUUUUCAACUAUUAUCCAAAUAGUGCAAAUAUAUAGUACAUAGGUCUAACUUAUUAUAAUUAUUAAAUUAAUUGUAAUAAAUAAAAGGAAAAACAUAUAGGUUAAACAUUUAAUCGUAUGUCCAUGAAUUUGUGGUCAAGUUUUGGACCGAUACAACAAGAUAUGGAUUUAUACGCUCACAAGUUCAAAUUUUAUCACACGGAACUAAUUAAGUCACAUUAGCUAAACAUCUAUAUGGACAUAAAAGGGAAAUUGCCACAAAUAUCACUUUCAAUGUACCACUUUUCAUUAAUACCUUGACCAACUUUACCAUUAAAAUUUUAAUAGGCAAAAUACAAUUAUACCCCUAUCUAAUUAAAACUACAACUAUUAUGUUCUUCUCCACUAUCCGAUAAUCAAUCCGACGAGAUCCGGUGAUUCUGACGAGUUUUCCGGCGAGCUUUGACAACGAAGACGAGUUCUCUUGCGAAAUCUGACGAUGCUGAUUAGUUCUCUGGCGAAACACGAAUGAGACGAUCUCUCUCCUGAUGCUGAUGAGUUUCCGGUGAGAUCUGACGACGCUAACGAGUUUUCCGGCGAGAUCUGACGAUGCCGAGAAGUUCUCCGGCAAAGCUGACAGACUCAACAAGCUCAGACGAACGAGACGAUCUCUCCCCCAACGCCUAAGAAACACUAAAAAAGGUAAGAUGAUAGUAUAUGGUGAUUUUUGCCUCUUUCUGUAAUUUUAGCUUGAUUUAUCAAAAUCGAUAUGUUUCUAAGAAAGAAGACGAAGUUUUUCAAGUGAAGUUUUCAGAUCUCAAAUUUAUAAGAUCUUAUAAAUUGGGUCCUUUCAAAUCUUACUGUUGAUCUGUUAGCAAUCAAAAGACACAAAGCUUAACGUAAGAGUACAAUUAUUGAUUUGGUUGAUUUAUUGUCAUAGUUUUCAGAUUUAUAUAAUUAUUUAAUUCAUGAGAAGGUACUAACCUAAGAGUAUAAUUAUUCCAUUACUUCUUCUCUUGGUUGAUUUGGUGAUGUUGCAGAGAAUUACAAAUGUGUGUUGUCAGCUUUUGGAUUUAAAAGAUGUUGUGGAGAAUAUGUGUGGUGAUAUGCAUAUCUAAGUAUCUCACUUCCUUAAGAUUUUGAAAAUUUACGAGGUUGGUGAGCUGUUUGAAGAGGCAAGAGAGACUCUGAAGAAGAAUGUGGUUUGUGCUAUCAAAGAAUUACGUAUUUAUAACGCUUUAUAAAAGUUGCAGAGUUGGCUUCUUAGUAUAUUCUUCUCUCUCAUCUUCUUUAGACAUCUCUUAUACUAAAACAAUUGUAUCUCUCUUUUAGUAGUUGCAUAGUUGAAGAUAUUAGUUGGACAUGUAAGUGAGUUUGGUUUCAA